rnacentral:lncRNA from 1 species
AUUUUGUACAGUUUGUCUAGUUGUUCCAUCGUGAAUGAAAGCUGAAUUGAAGAAAACCGUUGCGCUUGAUCAGAAUUACUGGCUUGGAAUGUAUGACCCUCACCUCCACCUUUGUUCUUCUGAUUUGAAGUUCGCGGAAGACCAUGUAAUUUCCAACAUUGGAAAAUAGUAUGUCCCAAACGAUGACAAUAUUUGCAUUCACGACGAUAUUUGAAAGAGGAUGAUCGUCGUCGAGAAUAAAAAAACGGC